UCGGCCUUCCGGUUCACGGCCCGCUGUCCUGCGGGGCGACCCGGUGGCA
rfam:Promicromonospora flava strain DSM 21481 genome assembly, contig: Ga0061139_scaffold00001.1